rnacentral:rRNA from 1 species
GCCUCUUGUUCAAAACAUAAGAGGUCCCGCCUGCCCGGUGACAAAAGUUCAACGGCCGCGGUAUCCUGACCGUGCGAAGGUAGCGCAAUCACUUGUUUUUUAAAUGAAGACCUGUAUGAAUGGCUCCACGAGGGCUUAACUGUCUCCUUCUCCCAGUCAAUGAAAUUGAUCUCCCCGUGCAGAAGCGGGGAUAAACACAUAAGACGAGAAGACCCUUUGGAGCUUUAGACGACAGGUAGACCAUGUCCCUCCCCCCAAGUAAAAGGAACAAACUCGUUGGAACCUACCCUUAUGUCUUUGGUUGGGGCGACCACGGGGAAACAAAAAACCCCCAUGUGGACUGGGAGUUCCCAUACUCCUAUUACCAAGACCCACAGCUCUAAGUUUCAGAACUUCUGACCAAAAAGAUCCGGCAACGCCGAUCAACGGACCAAGUUACCCUAGGGAUAACAGCGCAAUCCCCUUUUAGAGCCCAUAUCGACAAGGGGGUUUACGACCUCGAUGUUGGAUCAGGGCAUCCUAAUGGCGCAGCCGCUAUUAAGGGUUCGUUUGUUCAACGAUUAA